rnacentral:misc_RNA from 1 species
AAUACACGCCAUGUUUUCUGAUGCUGGUUUUGAUUUUUUUGCUACUUAUAUCUGUUUCUGCAAUAGCAUCAUCAAAGACCAGAAUUUCUUGGAGCAUAAUCAAGAAACUUAACCUGAAAGGUCCUUUUAUUGGUCUCAUUACUGUAUAUCCACCUGAAGAAAAUGCUUUCUUUGCAUCUGGAGCCUUCAAGCCUAAUGCUAAACACCCUUUUGUGGAUCUGUCAGG